ensembl:lncRNA
GGAAAGGCUUCAAGGAAGCCUUUAAAAGCACUGUCCUUAGUGAUGUACUGUUCGCUGCACUCCAAUAACAGCUGCCAGGGACCACCCAUAUUGUUUUUUCAGGGACACUGAAGAAGUGGCUUAAAUAUGCACCGGAGAGAGAGGGAGGUGGAGGGAGGCGAACAAAUGAACGCGAUCAGGCGCCGCAGGAUCCUCGACCAUGAAUGAAUGUGUGUGUGUAAAUAAUAAUUAUAUUCGUUAGAAUAAGUAGGGUUAAUUGGGUUUGGGUUGUUCGUGUUCGGUUAUCACGUUGUGUUGUUCAUUAUUGUCGCCACCGUUGUUGUGUCAUGUUUGUUUGUUGGGUGCUCUAUGUGAGAGGAUUUUAAUAAAAG